rnacentral:rRNA from 1 species
GACGAACGCUGGCGGCGUGCUUAACACAUGCAAGUCGAACGAUGAAGCCGGAGCUUGCUCUGGUGAAUUAGUGGCGUACGGGUGAGUAACACGUGAGUAACCUGCCCUUGACUCUGGGAUAACUGCGGGAAACUGUAGCUAAUACCGGAUACGACCCUCGGAGGCAUCUCCUGGGGGUGGAAAGAAUUUCGGUCAAGGAUGGACUCGCGGCCUAUCAGCUAGUUGGUGAGGUAAAGGCUCACCAAGGCGACGACGGGUAGCCGGCCUGAGAGGGGGGCCGGCCACACUGGGACUGAGACACGGCCCAGACUCCUACGGGAGGCAGCAGUGGGGAAUAUUGCACAAUGGGCGCAAGCCUGAUGCAGCAACGCCGCGUGAGGGAUGACGGCCUUCGGGUUGUAAACCUCUUUUAGCAGGGAAGAAGCGAAAGUGACGGUACCUGCAGAAAAAGCACCGGCUAACUACGUGCCAGCCGCCGCCGUAA